rnacentral:rRNA from 1 species
GAUGAACGCUGACAGAAUGCUUAACACAUGCAAGUCUUUGGCGAAGCUGUGCUUGCACAGCCUAGCCAAGGCGGACGGGUGAGUAACGCGUAAGGAACUUGCCCUGCAGUCAGGGAUAACAGACGGAAACGACUGAUAAGACCUGGUAAAGUCAGGCGGACUCAUGUCCAGCCUGAUGAAAAGAGAUGCUGCAGGAGAGCCUUGCGUCCUAUUAGCUUGUUGGUGGGGUAACGGCCCACCAAGGCGAUGAUAGGUAGCCGGCCUGAGAGGGUGGACGGCCACAAGGGGACUGAGAUACGGCCCUUACUCCUACGGGAAGCAGCAGUGGGGAAUAUUGGACAAUGGGGGCAACCCUGAUCCAGCAAUUCUGUGUGCACGAUGAAGGUUUUCGGAUUGUAAAGUGCUUUCAGCAGGGAAGAAAAAAAUGACGGUACCUGCAGAAGAAGCGACGGCUAAAUACGUG